rnacentral:tRNA from 1 species
AUUUAUAUAUUUUAUAUAAAAUAUUAUAUUUUCAUUAUAAAGAUAUCUUAAAGAUUAUAAAUA